rnacentral:rRNA from 1 species
AUUGAACGCUGGCGGCGUGCUUAACACAUGCAAGUCGAGCGGUAACAGGCGUAGCAAUACGUGCUGACGAGCGGCGAACGGGUGAGUAAUGCUUCGGAAUCUUCCUCGUAGUGGGGAAUAACCUGGGGAAACUCAGGCUAAUACCGCAUACGAACUACGGUUGAAAGCAGGGGAUCGCAAGACCUUGCGCUAUGAGAUGAGCCGAAGUCGGAUUAGCUAGUUGGUGAGGUAACGGCUCACCAAGGCGACGAUCCGUAGCUGGUCUGAGAGGACGACCAGCCACACUGGGACUGAGACACGGCCCAGACUCCUACGGGAGGCAGCAGUGGGGAAUAUUGGACAAUAGGGGCAACCCUGAUCCAGCGACGCCGCGUGUGUGAAGAAGGCCGUGCGGGUUGUAAAGCACUUUAGUUGGGAGUGAAAGA